CUUCACCGAUCCCAGCCACAGCGGCCGGUCGGCAGCCCGCUCCUGCCCGUAGGUCGCGAGCAGCGCCUGCGCUUC
rnacentral:antisense_RNA from 1 species